CCUGUAGAGGCGCUAGGACUAGAGUCUGGUGAGCUUGGAGCUUGAGGCGCGCCUUUAAUAACUAUGUCUGCACAUCCCCCAUCUACUUGAAGGAUUGAAUCGGGAUAUUUAAAGUGAUUACUUUGGGGCAGUAUCACUCCGUUCAAACUCACUUCUUCCCUAUCACCAUGUAUCUGCAUUUAUUAAUUUUUUUAUACCUAAACAAUUCAGUAUUAUCUGCCUCAUGCUAGAUCUCGUUUUGUGGUUUUUAAUACAUGAAGGUUUAUCAUGAUACUUAAAAUUUUAGGCCCCAUUACAAUGUCAAUAUGAC
rnacentral:misc_RNA from 1 species